rnacentral:rRNA from 1 species
CGCCUCCUCUAGCCCAAACAUAUCCCUCAACAAAACAGUAAUAAACCACCUACCCCCACCUAACCAAAACAUUCUAACCCUUACCCUAGUAUAGGCGAUAGAAAAGGACUUAGGCGCAAUAGAGACUUCUGUACCGCAAGGGAAAGAUGAAAUAACAAUGAAACCCAAAGCAAGAAAAAGCAAAGACCAACCCUUGUACCUCUUGCAUCAUGAUUUAGCAAGAACAACCAAGCAAAGUGAACUAAAGUUUGCCUCCCCGAAACCCAAGCGAGCUACUUCUGAGCAGCUAGAAUUGAGCGAACCCAUCUCUGUUGCAAAAGAGUGGGAUGACUUAGCAGUAGAGGUGAAAAGCCAACCGAGCUGGGUGAUAGCUGGUUACCUGCCAAACGAAUCUUAGUUCCCCCCUAACCCUUCCACAAGGACACUAAACUCAACCACAACACAACCCAUGAUAGAGUUAGGAGUAAUUCUAAGGAGGUACAGCUCCUUAGAAAAAGAAAACAAUCUCCCCUAGCGGAUUAACCUUUUUUCCCCUUUUACUGUGGGCCUUAAAGCAGCCACCAACAAAAGAAUGCGUCAAAGCUCUUACCAUUAAAAAUUCCACAAACCAAUCUGACUCCCUUACCAUAAGCAGGUUAAUCUAUGACUAUAGAAGAAUUAAUGCUAAAAUAAGUAACUUGAGAUAUCCCUCUUCAGCGCAAACUUACAUAUACACAUUAUUAACAGAUCCCCUAUAUCAUCAACUGCAACAAGACCAAAUAUUACCCCAUCUGUUAAACCAACUCAGGAGCGCCCAUAAGACGAUUAAAAUUUGCAGAAGGAACUCGGCAAACCCAACAGACCCGACUGUUUCCCAAAAACAUAGCCUUUAGCAACCAACAAGUAUUAAAGGUGAUGCCUGCCCAGUGACUACAACGUUCAACGGCCGCGGUAUCCUAACCGUGCGAAGGUAGCGCAAUCAAUUGUCUCAUAAAUCGGGACUUGUAUGAAUGGCUAAACGAGGUCUUAACUGUCUCCUGCAAAUAAUCAGUGAAAUUGGUAUUCCCGUGCAAAAACAGGAAUGAGAACAUAAGACGAGAAGACCCUGUGGAACUUUAAAAUCAUCGACCACCUCAACUAACACCACAAUCCACAAGGACCUACCACCACAGAGUACUUGGUCGACUUUUUUCGGUUGGGGCGACCUUGGAGAAAAACAAAUCCUCCAAACCUCACAGACCACAACUCUUAACCUAGACCAACCAAUCAAAGUACUAACAGUAACCUAGACCCAAUACAAUUGAACAAUGAACCAAGCUACCCCAGGGAUAACAGCGCAAUCUCCUUCAAGAGCCCAUAUCGACAAGGAGGUUUACGACCUCGAUGUUGGAUCAGGACAACCUAAUGGUGCAGCCGCUAUUAAGGGUUCGUUUGUUCAACGAUUAACAGUCCUACGUGAUCUGAGUUCAGACCGGAGCAAUCCAGGUCGGUUUCUAUCUAUGAAUUCUACUCCUCCUAGUACGAAAGGACCGGAGAAGUGGGGUCAAUACUAAAAGCACACCCCCACCCCUCUAAGCAAUAAACCCAACUCAAUUGCCAAGAGACCUAUAACCCCACCCCAUUCAACCCCAGAAAAGGGACA